GGGACCUGGCUCCGGACCGGCCUGAUGAUGGAGUUCGACUGCGAGGGCGUGAGACGGCUGCUUGGCAAGUUUUUAAAGAUAGUUCUCAGAAAGACCUGCUGAAUUUUACUGGCACAAUUCCUGUGAUGUAUCAGGGUAAUACAUAUAACAUACCAAUUCGUUUCUGGAUUUUGGAUUCUCACCCUUUCGCUCCCCCUAUUUGCUUCUUGAAGCCAACUGCAAAUAUGGGAAUCUUAGUCGGAAAACAUGUGGAUGCUCAAGGCAGAAUAUAUUUGCCCUAUCUCCAAAACUGGAGCCAUCCUAAAUCUGUCAUUGUUGGAUUAAUUAAAGAAAUGAUUGCCAAGUUUCAAGAGGAACUUCCCAUGUAUUCUCUAUCAUCAUCUGAUGAGGCACGGCAGGUAGACUUGCUAGCCUAUAUUGCAAAAAUCACUGAAGGUGUUUCAGAUACAAAUUCUAAGAGCUGGGCAAAUCAUGAGAAUAAAACAGUCAAUAAAAUUACUGUGGUUGGAGGUGGAGAGCUGGGUAUUGCCUGCACAUUAGCAAUUUCAGCA
rnacentral:sRNA from 1 species